rnacentral:sRNA from 1 species
GGGGAGGAAAUGCUGGGGAGGUGGGGGCAGAUCACAUCAACAUCCUGGCGUUGGGCUGGGUCGGUGUGGAGCCCCAGAAAUGUUCCCAAGCCCAUUCUUACCAAGAACCAAUGAGUAAAAUCAGGGGCCUCCAACCUGAGGUCAGGGAACCAGGCCCUGGAGUGGAACUUGGGGUGGAAAAUGGCCUUCUUUGUCAACUGAUUCAUUCUCCAGAAUUCAAUUUGUUCUCCAACUCGGUGGUGUUUGAAAGCAACUUUAUCCAGGUCACUAAGCCCGGGAACUGGAGAGAUGUCUGUGAAGGGUCUGCCACCGUGAUCCUCGGGGUGACCUCCUCGGUGCCCUCCCUGCCACUCCCCAAUGUCCUCCUGAUGGCCAAUGUUACCUGGCCCCAGGGUCCAUUUACCACCUGGAGCACACCUGGUGACGCCCCAGUCAUCAACCUCAGCAGGCUUCUCCCCCUGAAGUACGUGGAGCUACGAAUCUACGACCGGCUCCAGCGCAUCCUGAGGGUUAGGACAGUGACCGAAAAGAUCUACUAUCUGAAGCUCCACGAAAAACACCCAGAGAUUGUGUUUCAAUUCUGGGUCCGCUUGGUGAAAAUUCUGCAGAAAGGCCUGUCCAUCACCACCAAAGACCCGAGAAUCGAAUUCACUCACUGCCUGGUGUCCAAGAUGCCCACCAACUCCACAGAAACAACAGUAAGUGGGCCUCCCUCCGGGACCUGUCGAGAAAUAAGUAUAUAUAAGUAUAUAUAGCCAUGCCCUGUCACCCAGGCUGGAGUGCAAUGGCGCGAUCUCGGCUCACUGCAGCUUCCACCUCC